GACGAACGCUGGCGGCGUGCUUAACACAUGCAAGUCGAACGGAAAGGCCCUGCUUUUGUGGGGUGCUCGAGUGGCGAACGGGUGAGUAACACGUGAGUAACCUGCCCUUGACUUUGGGAUAACUUCAGGAAACUGGGGCUAAUACCGGAUAGGAGCUCCUGCUGCAUGGUGGGGGUUGGAAAGUUUCGGCGGUUGGGGAUGGACUCGCGGCUUAUCAGCUUGUUGGUGGGGUAGUGGCUUACCAAGGCUUUGACGGGUAGCCGGCCUGAGAGGGUGACCGGCCACAUUGGGACUGAUAUACGGCCCAGACUCCUACGGGAGGCAGCAGUGGGGAAUAUUGCACAAUGGGCGGAAGCCUGAUGAAGCAACGCCGCGUGCGGGAUGACGGCCUUCGGGUUGUAAACCGCUUUCGCCUGUGACGAAGCGUGAGUGACGGUAAUGGGUAAAGAAGCACCGGCUAACUACGUG
rnacentral:rRNA from 1 species